rnacentral:tRNA from 1 species
GCCCGUAGCUCAAAGGUUAGAGCGUUGGACUUUUGAUCAAGAGGUCACGAGUUCAAGCCUCGGAUGGGGCG